CUAAUCGUAAUCAUAAUUUAACAGCUAUGUGGCAUAUACUAUGUGUGAUGAUAUUCGUUUUUCUAACAAACCUUAUAUGGUAGUAAGGGUAUCUGACCAACCUUUUUAAUUCGUGAGAUGUUAUUCGGUAGUUUUUUACAUGUAUUUUGUUUCUGUAAAAUUAACAGUUUAUCAUUCUACUGAGUAACGUACAAGCUAGACAAUUUUUUCGUUACUCGGUAAUGUCACAUCAGGUGUUUGUGUGUUGUUGGAAAAAUAAAUUUGGUAUUCGUUGCCUUAUAAAUUUUAAAUGGGAAAAUAAAUUUGGUGCUCGCUUCGUGAUUUCACAAAAUUUUUUUGAAAAUGUAACCUUAAAAGAAAACUCACAGGAGGGAGGGCAAAGCCUAAAAAAUGGAGUGAGGAGGAAAACCAUUUACUGUUAUAAUAUUUGCUUGAAAAUGUGGAAAUUGAGAUGUACUACCAAAAAUUAAUUGAAAGGACCAAUAUUGAUGCGACUUCGGACAUGUUGCGCUGCAAGGUCCAGUACUGAAAGCAGAUGUAUAACAAAGCUGAAGAGAGACGCAAAUCGACAGCGCUGGAAUAAACGUUGCCGAUGAAGUUUCCACGAUAAAAGAAAAACUUUCACAAGUGUGUCCAAAUUAUCAACGAUUUUCGGUUCUAUUUGGCAGCAAAUCCUAAGCCAAUUGUGUUAUAGAGACAUUCAACUUUGAUGUGUCACAAUACUGCAGCGAUUUUACAAACUUUGUGGAGGUAGUGGAAAUUGUGGCCGAAUCAUCACAAUGAUAUGCGGAACCAUCGGGUUCACUUAAAUAGAAAGCAAAACAGAAAACACAAGGAGCAGAGGUAGCAAAAUUUCCUCCUAUCCCACCGACUUUCCUCGAAAAGUGAAAAAAAUGCUCCAAAGAAUGUUCUUAGUAAACUUAAAGAUAUACAAGAGAAAAGAGAACAGUUUUUUGAGGAACAAAUUGGAAUUGAAAAAGAAAGGAAUUGGACAGAGAUAAAGUGUUUGAAAUAAAAAAAUUGGAGCUUGAGCAAAAACAAAGACUGGGAAUGGUAUAACCAUAACUAAAGUAUAAAUAUAAUAGGGGAAUUCUCUUGCUUUUGCAAUAUUGCACGAUUUCACAAAAUGCAAAAAUCCUAUAUCGAAAUAUGCAUUAAUCGAAUUUAGUGAUAUAUUAUAAAAGCGGCUGAUUCGGUCAAUUUAUUGAGAAUUUUUAACAAACAACUGUAACAAAUCUUUAUAAUUUAAGCAGAAAUCUGUAUGUAAACUGACAGCUAAAACAGGGUUGCGAUUAUAUUUUUACGUGUCAGUGCACGAAAAUAAACUUGGGUUUUGGUCUGACAUAUUUUACAGCCAUUGCAAAUAAUUUUCUGCGUGUGUUUGUUUUUGUGCCGUUUCACCAAGUGGAAAAUUCUGCAAUUCGUCCACCGUGCAAGGCUUUUGGAAGGGCAAGAGAAUACCCCUAAUGUAUAACAAAUUGGAUAACUGCAAAAUUUCUUUCACUCAAUUUUGAGGUUGUUAAAAAAUAAAAGAAAUUGUCAUUUUUUUGUUUGAUCUUAAUUUGAAUUGCGCGCCAAAAAACAAUGGAGCAACUUUGACCAAUAAAAAGUUUACAGAUAUUCUUAUUUUGGUCUAUAUUAUGAUAUUCUAAAGUGUCGUCAAUAUCGGAGAACCACGGGUACAAAACCAUGUCGCCAAUUGAUGGAAUGGCCCAUAUGUUUAUAUAAAAUUCUUUAGAUUUCGAUCGUUUGUUUGACGUUUCACAUCUUCAGGCAUUUCCUUGGCCUUGCUUCUUGCAAGUUGCAGGAGUAUAUAUGUUGGGGCAUAGAUAUAAUCUUGGAAGCAAAAAAUUUCUGACCUGCAUAUUUCUUUAAACAAAAUACUGCAGAUCUAUAAGCUCAAUCUGCAUCUCCUGAGGUAUCUUGCGAACAUCGAAGGUAAAAUGAGCUACGAAAUGUCGAAACUUUCUUGGAGUGUGUUAAAUACUGUAAAUCUUAUAUUUAAUAACAUAGUUGAACAGGGCUCUCCUGAUAUAAAUACUUUUCCCCAUUUCAUUUUAAAUGAAUUAUUUGUUAUUUUUAAAUUGUGGACACUGUUUUCACUCGCUGAAAUGCACUUUCAGUUUUUCUAAAUAUUUUCAAUAUUUCUUUAAACAUAAAUAUUUCCACAAGUGAGCGCUUUGCAUACACCCAUUGGCUUUUGUAUUAUACGGAUAUUUAUGUGCUUAGACUCCCCCAAUUAAAAAUGCAAGGCCAUGGACUUAAGUCAUGAGCCAUAAAAAUUUGUUGCAAAUGAGUACUCAUAAUAAUAUAAAAAAUUACUAUGACGCAUUCCCACAAAAACAAAAAAACCUCAAAGUAUCUCUACACUUAUGAGUGACAAUUUAUGACUCUCUCAAUAGUAGACAAAUAAUUUGACUUUACUCACUUUUUUUUGAAGGAAAGAAUAAAAAUAAUUUGAAUAAGUUAAAAAAUAAAAGUGUAA